rnacentral:lncRNA from 1 species
AUGGGCUAUAACCCUAAAUGGAUUUCAGUGAAGGUAACAUUUGCUGUGAAAUGUUCAUACAGCUAUAUCACAUUCUGCUUCUUCUGUGAAAUCCAAGACAGAGUAUUUAAGGUGAGCUUGAUGUUAGAAGAAUAUCAGAAGAGAAGAGAAAUCUGGAAAAAUGUUAAUGGAGAAAGGGAUUAAGACUUCAGAUGAAAUCUCAAGUAUUUUCCACCAGAGGGUUGAUUGUCAUGGAGAAAACAGUCAAGCUAAUUUCCAUACAAUGGAAUAUGAAGAUGUGGCAGAGCCUCUGGAUCCUGAAGAUCUUCCUUGUCGGAUCUUGAAGAGCUUCCUUGUCUAGGAAGUCACUUACCUUCACAUAAAGGGUAUUCUGCAGUGCAGGAGACAUUAUAGCAAAAGGUAGGCAUGAAUUCAUCCUGUGGGGAAGGAAAUCCCUGUUCCUGUUCAGGUUUUCUGUAUCUUAACAUCUG